CCUACGGGCGGCUGCAGUCGAGAAUCAUUCACAAUGGGGGAAACCCUGAUGGUGCGACGCCGCGUGGGGGAAUGAAGGUCUUCGGAUUGUAAACCCCUGUCAUGUGGGAGCAAAUUAAAAAGAUAGUACCACAAGAGGAAGAGACGGCUAACUCUGUGCCAGCAGCCGCGGUAAUACAGAGGUCUCAAGCGUUGUUCGGAAUCACUGGGCGUAAAGCGUGCGUAGGCUGUUUCGUAAGUCGUGUGUGAAAGGCGCGGGCUCAACCCGCGGACGGCACAUGAUACUGCGAGACUAGAGUAGUGGAGGGGGAACCGGAAUUCUCGGUGUAGCAGUGAAAUGCGUAGAUAUCGAGAGGAACACUCGUGGCGAAGGCGGGUUCCUGGACAUUAACUGACGCUGAGGCACGAAGGCCAGGGGAGCGAAAGGGAUUAGAUACCCCUGUAGUC
rnacentral:rRNA from 1 species